rnacentral:rRNA from 1 species
CCCCCCCUCCCCCCCCCGCCCGGGCUGCGUGCUACCUGCAGUCGACGAAAGUUUAUACUUUAGUGGCGGACGGGUGAGUAAUACGUGAGACUCUUCCUUUAGGAAGGGAAUAACAAUUGGAAACGAUUGCUGAUGCCCUAUAUGCUUAGCAGUGAAACAGAUUUAUCUGCCUGAAGAUGAGCUCGCGCCUGAUUAGCUAGUUGGUAGAGUAAAAGCCUACCAAGGCAACGAUCAGUAGCUGGUUUGAGAGGACGAUCAGCCACACUGGGACUGAGACACGGCCCAGGCUUCUACGGAAGGCAGCAGUGGGGAAUUUUCCGCAAUGAGCGAAAGCUUGACGGAGCAAUACCGCGUGAGGGAAGAAUGCCUGUGGGUUGUAAACCUCUUUUUUUAGGGAAGAAAAUAUGACGGUACCUAAAGAAUAAGCAUCGGCUAACUCCGUGCCAGCAGCCGCGGUAAUACGGGGGAUGCAAGCGUUAUCCGGAAUUACUGGGCGUAAAGCGUCUGCAGGUGGCUUAAAAAGUCUGCUGUUAAAUAUUAGAGCUCAACUCUGAGUAAGCAGUGGAAACUGUUAGGCUAGAGUAUGGUAUGGGUAAAGGGAACUCCCAGUGUAGCGGUGAAAUGCGUAGAUAUUGGGAAGAACACCAGUAGCGAAAGCGCUUUACUAGACCAUUACUGACACUCAGAGACGAAAGCUAGGGGAGCAAAUGGGAUUAGAUACCCCAGUAGUCCUAGCCGUAAACGAUGGAUACUAGAUGUUGCGUGUAUCGACCCAUGCAGUAUCGUAGCUAACGCGUUAAGUAUCCCGCCUGGGAAGUAUGCUCGCAAGAGUGAAACUCAAAUGAAUUGACG